AUGCCCAGCUAAGGCUGGCAGUUUUCUGAAGCUGUUGUUUUCAAACAGGAGCCUAAAGUGGUAUCUUUCUAUGGUCUGUUGGCCAUUUCAGAACUUUAGAAAUGUAAUGACUGAUUCAUUAGAAAGAAGCAAUU
ensembl:snoRNA small nucleolar RNA SNORA2/SNORA34 family